rnacentral:rRNA from 1 species
CCUACGGGAGGCAGCAGUGGGGAAUAUUGGACAAUGGGGGCAACCCUGAUCCAGCGACGCCGCGUGAGUGAAGAAGUAUUUCGGUAUGUAAAGCUCUAUCAGCAGGGAAGAAAAUGUCGGUACCUGUCUAAUAAGCCCCGGCUAAUUCCGUGACAGCAGCCGCGGGAAUACGUAGGGGGCAAGCGUGAUCCGGAUUUACUGGGUGUAAAGGGAGCGUAGACGGUGCAGCAAGUCUGAUGUGAAAGGUCGGGGCCCAACCGCGGGACUGCAUUGGAUACUGGUCAACUGGAGUACAGGAGAGGUAGGCGGAAUUCCUAGUGUAGCGGUGAAAUGCGUAGAUAUUAGGAGGAACACCAGUGGCGAAGGCGGCUUACUGGACUGAAACUGACGUUGAGGCUCGAAAGCGUGGGGAGCAAACAGGAUUAGAUACCCCUGUAGUC